CUGCCCUUUCAGACCAUGGAGCUGCUCAUUGGGGGACUUUUUUGGCUCCGCCCACGUGACCCAGCCAAUCGGCCUCAAGAGCAGGAGGAUUGUUGGAGGUGGAGAGAUGCUUGUGUGGGAGAGAGAGGCUUGUGGAAAGCCGGUGGUGGCAGUUGAGGCUCUGAGGGUUUUUCCUGAGAGGCUGUUUUGUUUGGUGUGUGUGGUUCUAAAAAUAAAGUUAGUUUCUUUUGACAAGUGGCUCCUGAUUGUGCCCAGCCAGACUGCGGCAGGUUACUAAUUGAAAAAUAAUUAUGUUGUAGGUCUGACUUAGAUGGUUUCUGAAGGCUUGAUAUUAUGAGAUUGAACAAAUCAUGAAAAUAAUGAUGAUGAAAUUGUUUGUUUCCAGUAAUGGUGGAUAAUAAAAUGGGCUUGAUAGGUGGAAGGGAUUCUGGGAUGAAAAGUAGACUUAAAAAGUCUUUAGCAUGUAAAAUAACUGUGAGGCAAAAGUGUAAUUUUGGAACAGGAAUGAGUGGAAUUUUUUAAAAUUUAGAGAAAGAAUUGUUAUAACAAUUAGAAUUUUGUAUUAAGUCAACAUUAAAACUUGUUUAGAAAAUUUUGCUUUAAAUAUUAGUUAAAUAUAUGAAUAUGUAUUAACUCUCUUUCUUCCUGAAGCGGGGCAAUAAUAAAAUAUCAAUUUCUUAAGAUUAUUUAAACUGUAUAAAUAUUCUUUAUAAGGUUACCUUCCCAUUAGUUUCUUAGGAAGAAUAAUGGUUAUUUUCUUUUAAAAAAUAUUUGUUCUAAGUAGUUAUACAUGAAGCAGAAUGCAUUUCAACUUACUGUACACAAAUGAGCACAACUUCUCAUUUGCUGUACAUGAUGCAGAGUCACACACAUGCAAUCAUACAUCUACAUAAGGUAAGAUUGUAAGGUAUGGGUUGGGGUUGUGGCUCAGUGGUAGAACA
rnacentral:lncRNA from 1 species